GGAUGGAUGGCCGAGUGGUUAAGGCGCUGUGUUCAGGUUGCAUGGGCAUCGUGCAUCGCAGUGGGAAACCGCGUGGGUUCGAAUCCCACUCCAUUCA